UACGUAGGGGGCGAGCGUUGUCCGAAGUUACUGGGCGUAAAGCGCGCGUAGGCGGCUUUUUAAGUCUGGGGUGAAAGGUUCUGCGCUUAACGUGAACAGUGCCCUGGAGACUGGAAGGCUUGAGUGUGGGAGGGGGCAGUGGAAUUCCUGGUGUAGCGGUGAAAUGCGUAGAUAUCGGAAAGAACACCAACGGCGAAAGCACUCUGCUGGGCCGACACUGACACUGAGAGACGAAAGCUAGGGGAGCGAAUGGG
rnacentral:rRNA from 1 species